rnacentral:rRNA from 1 species
UACGGAGGAUCCAAGCGUUAUCCGGAUUUACUGGGUUUAAAGGGUGCGUAGGCGGAUUAAUAAGUCAGUGGUGAAAUCCUACAGCUUAACUGUAGAACUGCCAUUGAUACUGUUAGUCUUGAGUAUUGUUGAGGUGGGCGGAAUUUGUCAUGUAGCGGUGAAAUGCUUAGAUAUGACAAAGAACACCAAUCGCGAAGGCAGUUCACCAAACAAUAACUGACGCUGAGGCACGAAAGCGUAGGGAUCAAACAGGAUUAGAUACCCUGGUAGUCCACGCCGUAAACUAUGAUUACUAGAUGUUGGCGAAUUAUCGUCAGCGUUACAACGAAAGUAUUAAGUAAUCCACCUGGGGAGUACGAUCGCAAGAUUGAA